GUGUAUGCUUGGGCGAAUCUUUGGCUAGAAUGGAAUUGUUUCUAUUCUUAACAUCAAUGGUUCAAAAAUUUAAGUUCCUACCACCAGUGGGAGAACAGCCACCCCCAGCAGUUGGAAAUCUCGGCAUAACACAUGGACCGCUUCCAUUUAAUGUUAGAUGUGUUCCAUGGUGAUGUGUAUGUUUGUCUACUUGAGUUGAAUUUCGUGACUGGUGAUACAAGCCCGUAAAUAACAGAUCAUAACAAAUAGCAAGAAAGGGUUUGACUUGAAUGUCGAACAAGCAGUGUUUUUUGUAACGCUCAAGUACGGAGACAAUAAAAGAACAAGUCACAAUUAUUGCUCUAUAAUUAAUAAUUAUGUCUAUGCUUUCAUUUACAUCAAUACUUUUGUGUUAAUUUGUAUAAGCUUACUUUUCAUUUUUACAUGUUUAAAGACUUGAAACCUGACCAAGUUGACAGAAAAACUGUCUUGGAAGUUAAUAUAUAGACG
rnacentral:lncRNA from 1 species